AAUGAACGCUGGCGGCAUGCCGAACACAUGCAAGUCGAACGAAGGCUUCGGCCUUAGUGGCGCACGGGUGCGUAACGCGUGGGAAUCUGCCCUCAGGUUCGGAAUAACAGCGAGAAAUUGCUGCGAAUACCGGAUGAUAUCGCGAGUUCAAAGGUUUAUCGCCUGAAGAUGAGCCCGCGUAGGAUUUGCUAGUUGGUGUGGUAAUGGCGCACCAAGGCGACGAUCCUUAGCUGGUCUGAGAGGAUGAUCAGCCACACUGGGACUGAGACGAGGACCAUACUCGUACGGGAGGCAGCAGUGGAGAAUAUUGGACAAUGGGCGAAAGGCUGAUCCAGCAAUGCCGCGUGAGAGAUGAAGGCCUUAGGGUUGUAAAGCUCUUUUACCCGGGAUGAUAAUGACAGUACCGGGAGAAUAAGCUCCGGCUAACUCCGUGCCAGCCGCCGCUGUAA
rnacentral:rRNA from 1 species